ensembl:lncRNA
UGUGUGUGUAUAUAUAUGAUGCAUCUUGAUCCAUUCAUCCCUUCUCAGACACAUAGACUGUCUCUGUGUCUUGGCUGUUGUGAAUAAUGCUGCAACAAACAUGGGUGCAAAUGGGUCUUUGACAUAGUGAUUUCAUCUCCUUUGCAUAUAUACCUAGAAGUGGGAUUGCUGGAUCACAUGGUAGUCCUAUUUUAAUUUUUGAGGAGCCACCAUACUGUUUUUCACAGUGAAUGGCUGUACUAACUUACAUUCCCAUGGUGUACAAGGGCUCAUUUUUUCCCCAGUCUUCAUCAACACUCUUAAUCUCUUUCCUUUUUGAUGAUAGGCAUUGUAAUUGGUGUAGGUAACAUCUCCUUGUGGUUUUGAAUUGCAUUUCCCUGCUGAUUAGUGAUAUUGAGUACUUUUAAUGUAUCUGUUGGUCAUUGCAUGUUUUUUUUGGAAAAACAUCCAUUCCGCUUCUUUGCCCAUUUUAAAAGCAGAAUCAUUUUUGCUGUUGAGUUAAAUGAGUUGUUAAAUGAGUUUUUCGUUUGUUUGUUUAUUUUUAAGAUGGAGUCACUCUGUCGCCGGGGCUGGAGUACAGUGGCAUGAUCUCGGCUCAUUGCAACCUCUGCCUCCCAGGUCAAGCAAUUAUCCUGCCUCCGCCUCCCGAGUAGCUGGAAUUACAGAUGAGGAAACUGGCACAGCCAUGGGAAAGGACGCAGCCAUGGGAAAGGACGCAGCCAAGGUCCCAUGAAUGGUAGUGAUUGAAUCCUUCCUGUGUGGCAGAUCUUGUGCCUAGCACCAAGGGUACAAGUGUAAAUAAGAGGAACCAGGACCUCUCCUAGAACCUUAACAGACCAAUGAUGAACAGGAGAUUAUACCAUCGACUCACAACAACAACCCCAUGAGGUAUGGGCUACCUGCUUCAUUUUGUAGAUGCAGGCCCAGGAAAAAAAUUCACAUAGAUUUCAGUGUGUGCACAGCCAACUCAAGAUUUUAACCCUGUUCAGUGUUCAAAGACCCUUUUUCUUCAUUAUUUCGCAGGAAUCAUGGGAGGGGGUAUAGGUUGAUUACCAGUUCUGAGGGUCCUGGUAGCUCUGGGGGGAUGCUGGGGAUGUCUGUCAGGAGCUUUCAGUCCCCCUUUACUGAGCAGCAGAGAGCAGGGGGGACUCCUUUUGCUUGGGCUUGGCCUAGGGAAUCUAUCAGCUGAGAUUGGAGAUAGGUACCUAAGAAGCUCCAUUGACUCCUCCCAGCCUGACUUCCGUUUUCCCUUUGAGUGGGUUCUGCAAAUAUCUCAUAAUGUGUUUUCACUAAUGAAUGAAUUGAUUCACAAUUAAUUAUACAUUUAUAUAUUUCACUGUUUGCAAAGCUUCCAUAUUCAUUAUCUUCAUAAUAACUCUGAGGUCAGCAGGGGAAGAAUUAUUAUCCCCAGUGGACAGAUCAGGAAGUAGGGGCUCAGAGAUGUUAACCUGCAGAAAAUCAUUCAUCCAGGAAGCAGCAAAGUCAGAAUUCCAGCACCAGGUCUUCUGACCCAAGCCCUCUGUUCUUCUUAAAGCUGGAUAAACUUGUAGAGAUCCCCCUACUCAUUUUAUAGAUGAG